rnacentral:sRNA from 1 species
UAAAAUUAUUCAAGAAAUUAUCGUUUAUUUUUUGCACUUUCUGUUGACAAUGUUUAUUUACAUUCUGUAUAUUUUCUUACGCGAUGCGGCCCUGUUUGCACAGGCCCUUGUGAGGAUGCGAGUGUGGAUGUGGGUGUGUCUCCGGGUCUGUUGCAAUGUCAAUUCCCCAUUUCGAUUCGAUUCGAUGUUUCCCCCAAUAUUUGACCAAGAGGUAAACGCGCUCGGCAAAUAUUGUAUGACCUGUUGCACUUUAUACAGCAGCAAACGUAAAGUGAACUGAACAGAACAGAACAGAACUCGUAAAGAGAAAGAAUAUUUAUGUAUAUUUGUAUUCGAGACGAUAUUACUCGACCCGCCUCCGUGUCCGCACGCUGUGCUGUGCAACUGUGUCCACAUGCAGGCACAUGCGAAAAACAGUGGCAGUUGGAGCGCCAGAUGAGAUGAGAGAUGAUGAGCAUUAAGAAAUAAGCAAACAUACACACACUCUACAGGUUUCCCCAUUUGAGUAGCUUUACACGUACAUUUAUGUAUGAGAUCCGAAGAGGAGUACGAAAUUAUAUGUCUACCAUAUAGAAAGAAAACCAAAACACUAUAGAUGAUAUUUUCUAGCAAUAUAUAACAAAUACUAUAUGCAUAAGCAAAACAAAGGUGAACGUAAACAAAAAUGCCCUGAUCUGAAGCGAAACUGAAGCAAACUUUUACCAGCGAAAGUAUCGUAUCUCAUCAAUAGGCGAAUGGUAUCUUUUGCUAUGAAAUGAUCUCUGAUUGAUCAUAGAUUAUGUAAAUGUAUAUAUAUAUACACACAUAUAUGUGUAUGUUAGUACACAGAGUACAUAGAUUGCACUCUCCUUGAAUGUUGUACGAGAGAAUGUUGUAGCAUUGAGUUUUCAUAUGAUUUGCAAAAGACUUUUCGGAAUUUCCCAAAACUUUUUCUUUGGUUUGAAUGUACAUAGAAAUCCUGGUAUAUAACUUCACUGUGUAGUGUUGCCUUAAAAACAGUGCCUCUUUUAAAUAAACAAGCAAAAACGAUAUAAAAAAAAAACCAAACAAAGCAAAAAAAAGGAAAAUAAUAUAAAUAUAAAUGUCGUACUAUGAUGGAUUGCAAAUGAUAAUGAUAAACGGACAACUCGAUGGUGAAACAUUUCAAUACAGAGUGUAAGGGCCCCCCUCUAUAAAGUCAACGUCCCGAGAGAAAAACUCAAACUAAAAGCAGCACGUAAUGUACAAAAAUACAAAUUUCAAUUGGCAUUGAGAGAGGGAAGUGGAGACCGCUUAUCCAGAGAACUAUAAAACUACAUAGUUUAGGAAAACAAUAUAUUGAUGAUAGUUUACAUAGCUAAUAUAUACAUACAUAUGUACGCAAAUGUGUGUAUGAAUAACGAUGCACUGUACAGAUGACAGUCUACAAGACGAUCUACGGUCACAGGGACCACUCACAGCACAGACAGACUACACUAACUGCGUUCGUAUGGUACUAAUUGUAAUGUUCAGAAUGUAAAUUGUAUUGUACUCGUUGUACCUUUAGUGUAAUAGAUAAAAUGUUGAACCUGUUGCA